rnacentral:snRNA from 1 species
AUCGCUUCUCGGCCUUUUGGCUAAGAUCAAGUGUAGUAUCUGUUCUUAUCAGUUUAAUAUCUGAUACGUCCUCUAUCCGAGGACAAUAUAUUAAAUGGAUUUUUGGAGCAGGGAGAUGGAAUAGGAGCUUGCUCCGUCCACUCACAUCGACCUGGUAUUGCAGUACCUCCAGGAACGGUGCACCCCUC